GUCUCUCCCCAGUGACCCCCUGGAGCUCGUGGUCUCAGAGCCCCUGAGUAUAAGCCCUUCACCCACACCUGCGGGGUCCCUGGGCCAUCUCAAGACAAGAGAGGAGGCUGCUUGGGCCUCGGUGGGAUCUGACUGUGAUGAGGCUGGAGUCCACCCCAGAUGUGCUCCUUUAGAGAGAAGCACCCCAGCUGUGGGUGCCGCUCACACUGCCCCUCCUGUGCUCACCUGGAGGCCUCUGUGCUCAGGGCAUCCCUGAGAAUAAGGAGGGGCCCUGCACCUGCUCCCUGGACAAGUCAGCAUCCCUAGGCCAACACCCCCAGGAUUACACAGUGGAGAAUCUCAUCCGCAUGGGUGUGGCUGGCUUGGUCCUGGUGGUCCUCGGGAUUCUGCUAUUUGAGGCUCAGCACAGCCAGAGAAGCCUACAAGAUGCAGCCGGGAGGUGAACAGCAGAGAGGACAAUGCAUCCUUCAGCGUGGUGGAGCCUCAGGGACAGAUCUGAUGAUCCCAGGAGGCUCUGGAGGACAAUCUAGGACCUACAUUAUCUGGACUGUAUGCUGGUCAUUUCUAGAGACAGCAAUCAAUAUUUGAGUGUAAGGAAACUGUCUGGGGUGAUUCCUAGAAGAUCAUUAAACUGUGGUACAUUU
rnacentral:lncRNA from 1 species